rnacentral:rRNA from 1 species
UACGGAGGGUGCAAGCGUUAUCCGGAUUCACUGGGUUUAAAGGGUGCGUAGGAGGGCAGGUAAGUCAGUGGUGAAAUCUCCGAGCUUAACUUGGAAACUGCCGUUGAUACUAUCUGUCUUGAAUAUUGUGGAGGUGAGCGGGAUAUGUCAUGUAGCGGUGAAAUGCUUAGAUAUGACAUAGAACACCAAUUGCGAAGGCAGCUCGCUACACAUAUAUUGACUCUGAGGCACGAAAGCGUGGGGAUCAAACAGG